rnacentral:rRNA from 1 species
GAGUUUGAUCGUGGCUCAGAUUGAACGCUGGCGGCAGGCCUAACACAUGCAAGUCGAGCGGCAGCGCGGGGCAACCUGGCGGCGAGCGGCGGACGGGUGAGUAACGCGUAGGAAUCUACCCAGUAGCGGGGGAUAGCCCGGGGAAACUCGGAUUAAUACCGCAUACGCCCUAAGGGGGAAAGGCAGGGGAGUCUUCGGACCUUGCACUAUUGGCAGAGCCUGCGUUGGAUUAGCUAGUUGGUAGGGUAAAGGCCUACCAAGGCAACGAUCCAUAACUGGUCUGAGAGGAUGAUCAGUCACACCGGAACUGAGACACGGUCCGGACUCCUACGGGAGGCAGCAGUGGGGAAUAUUGGACAAUGGGGGCAACCCUGAUCCAGCCAUGCCGCGUGUGUGAAGAAGGCCUUC